GGAUUACUUGGGUUGUUACGAACAUCUGCUGUAAAUUUCAUGUCAAUAGCUCCAUUAGAAAUAUAUCUACUGUGAAAACCACUGACGUGUUCAAUACUUAUUUUCCCUGCUGUAUAAGCACAUUCUGUUUAAAGUUACAUUAUUAAAACCAUCCAUCAAUUAUAUUGGAAACUGGAAAGAGAAGCUAUAGAUACUCCAGGAAUGUAGAAGCAGUUUAGAUAAUACCCAGAAUGCUCCAAAAUGCGUGAGAUUUAUUCUGGUUCAAGAAGCCAAGAAAUCUGAAGACAAUAGACUGGGAUGCCCCGAGGAGGAAAGACAUUAGGCCUCUAUUCAUCCCUCUCCGUGUGCCGUUCCUGCUGCUGAAGAAAAUGUAUCUCUUCGAAGCCAACCGAUGUUAUAUUAUACCGACCAACUCCACCCCGAGAACUUUUUAAAGAAUUUUAAUUGCCACCCCACAUUUUGAGGAAGCCUGAAUAAAUUGAUCAAAAAUUGA